UAGCCGUAUAUUAAAGUUGUUGCAGUUAAAACGCUCGUAGUCGGAUUUCGGGGCGGCUUCGUCGGCCUGCCGAUGGGUAUGCACUGACGCGGGCGUCCUUCCUUCCGGAGACGCGUCCUACUCUUAGCUGAGCGGGGCGUGGAGACGGAUCGUUUACUUUGAAAAAAUCAGAGUGUUUCAAGCAGGCAUCAUCGCUCUUGCAUGGAUUAGCAUGGGAUAAUGAAAUAGGACCUUGGUGCUAUUUUGUUGGUUUCGAGCACCGAAGUAAUGAUUAACAGGGACAGUCAGGGGCACUCGUAUUCCGCCGAGAGAGGUGAAAUUCUCAGACCAGCGGAAGACGAACCACUGCGAAAGCAUUUGCCAGGGAUGUUUUCACUGAUCAAGAACGAAAGUUAGGGGAUCGAAGACGAUCAGAUACCGUCGUAGUCUUAACCAUAAACCAUGCCGACUAGGGAUUGGAGGAUGUCCACUUUUGACUUCUUCAGCACCUUACGGGAAACUAAAGUCUUUGGGUUCCGGGGGGAGUAUGGUCGCAAGGCUGAAACUUAA
rnacentral:rRNA from 1 species